rnacentral:rRNA from 1 species
ANGAAAAUNNNANUGCNCUUUNCAANCCCCUGAAUCUUCCACAAUGGACGAAAGUCUGAUGGAGCAACGCCGCGUGAACGAUGAAGGCUUUCGGGUCGUAAAGUUCUGUUGUAAGGGAAGAACAAGUGCCGCAGGCAAUGGCGGCACCUUGACGGUACCUUGCGAGAAAGCCACGGCUAACUACGUGCCAGCAGCCGCGGUAAUAA